rnacentral:rRNA from 1 species
CCUACGGGUGGCAGCAGUGAGGAAUAUUGGUCAAUGGGCGCGAGCCUGAACCAGCCAAGUCGCGUGAGGGAUGACGGUCCUACGGAUUGUAAACCUCUUUUGCCGGGGAGCAAGCGUUCGUUCGUGAACGCACGUCGAGAGUACCCGGAGAAAAAGCAUCGGCUAACCCCGUGCCAGCAGCCGCGGUAAUACGGAGGAUGCGAGCGUUAUCCGGAUUUUUUGGGUUUAAAGGGUGCGUAGGCGGGAUGCCAAGUCAGCGGUAAAAUGUCGGGGCUCAACCCGGGCCGGCCGUUGAAACUGGGGAUCUUGAGUGGGCGAGAAGUAUGCGGAAUGCGUGGUGUAGUGGUGAAAUGCAUAGAUAUCACGCAGAACUCCGAUUGCGAAGGCAGCAUACCGGCGCCCGACUGACGCUGAGGCACGAAAGCGUGGGGAUCGAACAGGAUUAGAUACCCGAGUAGUC